UAUAUAUAAACACUAGAUGGCUCAUGGGAGAUUUUCCAGCGUAGCUCACUGGCCGCCAUCUUGCUACAGUCAACAGCUACUCUGGUACGCGCUAUGGUAGCUGUUGUAAGGUGAGUGAUCUGCACAAAAAUACUCUUAACUCGCUGAAAUCUUGACUGAUUUACAAACGGUUUGGUUUAUUAUAAACAUUAUUAGCAUGGCUAUGAUACAGGAUGCUUGGACAUGUUGAAAUAGCAGCUUUUCUUUGUGUAUGUGUGGUUGUAUUUAUUAGCUGGCUAAUAACAAGAGGCUGUGAGUGAGACCUAGUAUUACAAAGUUGACCAAGAACCCGUGGAAUCACCUUUCACGUGUUUCCCAAAACCGGAGAGAGGAGGAGGCAGUGGGAAGUUGCCCUAAGAAGGCAGGACACUGCUCUGCAGUGAGCACUUUAGUUGUGAGGACUUUGACAGGACGGGGCAGACUGUCCGGCUUAAAGAUGGUGUUGUGCCAACAGUAUUCAACUUCCCAGCUCAUCUUCAAAGGCCGGAAGCAACAAGAAGCACAACCACUUCAAGAAGAGCGGAAGAUGAACCUCAGCCUAAUGUUGUGAGUAUUCUGAAUGUGGCCAAGACCAGAGAGAUGGUCAUUGAUUUCAGGAGGGUGAGGACGUCUCCUCCUCUACCCCUGUGCAUUCUGGGAGAGGAUGUGGCUGUUGUGGAGGACUACAAAUACCUGGGAGUGCACUUAGACAAUGGGCUGAACUGGAGGAUCAACACUGAC